AGGACCCUGGGAUCAUGACCUGAGCCGAAGGCAGACGCUUAACCAUCUGAGCCACCCAGGCGCCCCUACCUCAUCUUCUUUAUUCAUUCAUCAGUCGAUGGAUAUUUGGGCUCUCUCCAUAGUUUGGCUCUUGUUGAUAAUGCUGAUGUAAACAUCGGGGUACAUGUAUCCCUUCGAAUCCGAAUUUUUGUAUCCUUUGGGUAAAUACCUAGUAGGGCAAUUGCUGGAUCGUAGGGUAAUUCUAUUUUUUAACUUUUUGAGGAAUCUCCAUACUGUUGUCCAGAGUGGCCACAGCAGUUUGCAUUCCCACCAACAGUUCUUUUGCUGAAUUUGAGUAUGAGACGUAGAGGAAAGUUUAGUGUCGAUACUGGGGACAGAAGCAGCAAGACAUGGAGAAGGAAAGUUCUAAGAAGCCUUAAGUCAACAUAAGCUAUGGGUGAGGAGGAGCCAUGAAUUAGCAGGAACUCUGAAUCAGCAGAAAUUGAGACAGAGAGCAGAGUGGGGACAGCAGAGGAAUAGGCCAAGACCCAGAGGUGCUGAGUCACCAGGAUAGUGGAGCCCCAGCUUAGGGGCCUGGGAUGCCCCGAUGACGGGUAUCCAGGAGUGUUGCCGCUGAGUUGCAGAGCUGCGUGCAUCCGGUGACUAGAGCUACUGCUGCUGUUCGAGCCUCUAGGAGGUUGGGUGGCUAAGACUUCGGUCUUCCCAGUCUUCUAAUGAAACCUGAGAAUGUUUCUCUUCUUUGCAAGAACCUGACUGACGACACCAGCCACCUCAAAACUCCUCUGAGACUGUUGGGAAAUAGGGACAGCUGUGGCCUUUGGGUUCAGCAUCCUUCCUUGGGGGCAGUGACCUUUAUCUGACACUUUGCAGUUCUGGGCCUGCCAGUCAUGGGACUUCACCUUCCAGCUGGCCACAUAAUCUAGGCUGGCCUGGACAGUCGCCAUUGCAGGGAUGUGUUUCUCAUGUAGAGACACCUCCAGGGAAUCUUGAGAGAGCCCCUGGGUGCCGCUGGCUGGGAUCUUCCUGUUUUCCAAGGCCUGUUUAUUUAGCUCUUAUGUUCUGGGACUUCCCAAAUGGCCUCUACAAAUCCCCUUUCCUUUUUAAAGUAAUAAUGCUAACUGGACACACACCUUGGAGGGUUGUUUUCAAGUGAAACAAGUGACUCCUGGACAGAUUCGCCUUCCUGCCCCUGGUCACUCCCUCUGCAGCCCUUUCCUGUUCCACCUGACCUGUCUGCACUCCCUACCUAACAUACCCGAAAUAGCCCAGUGUUUUUUUCCCUUCGAAGGAGGAUUCUUUUUUUUUUUUUUUUAAGAUUUUAUUUAUUUAUUUGACAGAGAGAGAGACAGCAACAGAGGGAGCACAAGUAGGGGGAGUGGGAGAGGGAGAAGCAGGCUUCCCGCCCAGCAGGGAGCCCGUUACAUAACGGGACUCUAUCCCAGGACCCUGGGAUCAUGACCUGAGCUGAAGGCAGACGCUUAACGACUGAGCCACCCAGGCGCCCCCAAAGGAGGAUUCUAAGCCUAAACCAGCCCCCAGUUUACCAUAGGCUUUGCCAAGUCCUUGCCCAGCGCCUUUUCAGGCUUCCGUUUCUCUUCAUAACAGUAAGCAUAUGUGAGGACUCUUUAGGAUCUAAAUCAGACGGGGCUCCUCUCUGCAGUACCACAGUACUCCCUAUAGGUGGCAGCACGUCACCGCAAAUGUCCCGGAAUGUUGAACGCUCAGGUGCUCAAGGGCAACCAGGAGAGGGCGUGGGAGAUGCUGGGGGUAUAGCACUUGCUAGCCACGGAGGAGAGGAGGUAGGCGGUAGGAGGAAGGAAAGUGGACUCUCACUGGCCUUGAGACAAAAGAGAGUCGAGGUCUGGAGGGCAGGAGUAGUUGGUGUACCCAGUCUAUCCCCCCAUCUGUCCAUCCAUCCAUCCAACAAAUAUUUUUGAGCCCCUGUGCCAGGCUCUGGAGAUGGUGCAAUGAAUAAGACGGACACCUGUAGUCCCUCUCCUCACGAAGCUGGCACUCCACUGCAAAUAUCCCCCCCACCCCCAGCCCCCAACAGCCCUCAUGUAGCACACCUGUGCCUUCUGGCUUGUUUCCUCACCUGUAAAAUGGGAUAGUAAACCAUGUACCUCUCAGGUCCAUGGUGAGGCUUAGGUUCUAGUGCCCAGUCUGUGUUUCUACCCUGGCCCUCAGUCCCACCUCUCCCUUCACAGGAACUGAAAACUGCUGAACGCUGCAGUCAUCCAGGCGAGGGCUCAGUGUCCUCUCUGUAUCCAAGGGAAGCACCGGCCGGCCCACCCUUCUGCAAAGUCUAGGCUGGCUCCUUGUCCUUUAGGUGGCAGCUCAGGUGUCUCAUUGCCAGGAAGCCCUGUCUGAUGCCACCCACCUUUCUGCCCCAAGGAGACGUUAGCGUGGCAGGUUGCAUUUUCCGAAGAUGGCGGCAACACUGUCUCUCGUCCCACAGGCUCUUCUUACAAGGUUCCAUACGUAAGUGGACCAUCCAGUAUUUGCUUUCUCCGUCUGGCUUAUUUCAGGCAACCAAUUAUGGUGAAAUACACUUAUCAAAAUAUUACAAAGCCACACUCUGAUAUAGCAGUAGGCGUGCUUCUUUAUUAACAGACCACAGAAUAAGACCUGGUGGUGGGCCGGCCACGUUAUUAUGAUUGUAAUUGUAAGGCAGUGAUGAGUUUAAAUGAUAGUCCAAGAUACCUGCAGCAAAUGUAACGGGAUAUGAAACUAUGUUUGGUUCCAAUUGGUGACAAAGUCGUGGGGGCUGGGACCACAGCUGCAGUUUGCUGCCGACCUUCCUAAUGGAAGGAAAUGCAACUUUACAUUUAGAUGUUAAGAAAAUUAAGUGGCAGUACCUUUCUUCAUCCCACUUCACCGACCCCAGGUAAAGAGCCCUGUUGGACUUGGGUAGACUAGGGUGCCAACCCCUGCCCUAUGGCUUCCUGUGUGGGACGUUUGUGGGAAUUGUUCUUCCUCCCUGUGCCUCGGGUUUCUCAUCUAUAAAAUGGGUGUGAGACUAGUGAGCUCACAGAGCUGCUGGGAAGAGUACACGCGAUCAGCCAAAUUCAGCACACACUUAACUAUUUAAAAUUUUAUUUUAAUGGGCUGAGGACAUUUCACAUGACAUCUGCCCUUUUGACAAACAAGAAGAUGGAAGAUCUUUUUUUUUUUUUUAAGAUUUUAUUUAUUUAUUUGACAGAGAGAGAGAUAGCGAGAGCAGGAACACAGGCAGGGAGAGUGGGAGAGGGAGAAGCAGGCCCUCCGCUGAGCAGGGAACCCGACGUGGGGCUCGAUCCCAGGACCCUGGGAUCAAGACUCGAGCGGAAGGCAGACACUUAACCGACUGAGCCACCCAGGUGUCCCAAAGAUGACAGAUCUUGACAAGGACGUGGGGAGAUCGGAGCCCUUGCACACGGUCGGUGAGCAUGCAAAAUGGUGCAGCUCCUAUGGGAAACAGUUUGGCCUUCCUUGAACAAUGAAGAACAACUAUGGUAUGAUCCAGUGAUCCCAUGUUGGGGUAUUUAUCCAAAAGAAUCAAAAUUGGGACCUAGAGGAGAUACCAGCACCCCCAUGUUCACUGCAGCACCAUCGACACCAGCCCAAGAUAUGGACACCCAACCCAAGUGUCUGUUGACAGAUGACAGGAUCAAGAAAACCUGGUGAAUAUAUACAAUGCAACAGCACUCGGCAUUAAAAAAGAAGGAAAUUUGCCACGCCGUGAGGAUAGGGAUGAGCAUGCUGAGCAUUUAUUGAGCGCUGCUCUGUGCUUGGGAUAUCUUUUGGGGCUGGGACAAAAUCCCUGCCCUCAUGGGAUUUACAUUCUAGGAGCAGAGACAGGGAACCAGCAGGCAAAUUUAUUUACAGUUUCAGGUAAUCAUGAGGGCUGUGAAGAAAACGGACCAGGUGAUAUGGCAGAGAACAAACGCCCGGUGCAGGCGACAUUAGAUCAGGGAAUCGGGGGAUCCUAACACACACGAAUGAUAUUAAUGCAUCAGAGGAGAGACUGUAUUUGAAGCCCCUGGCACAAUGCCCGGCACACAGUAUAGGCUCGAUGUGUGUUGGCCACAGCGAUGCUGCGGCUGCCGGACCCCGCCCCCCCGCCCACUGGCUGGCGUUCCCCGGGGGCGCACACCCCCCGGCUCACCGUGGCUGGGGCUGGCACUGCCCACUGUACUUGGGGCUGGCAGAGCGUGGGCUGACGCGGGCGAGGAGAAGGCCGCGUCCCUGUCAGAACGGGAUCUGAGGGAAGCAGUUCUGAUUAAAGGAAGAGAAAGUCUUCUCUCUGCUGUGUCUUUCGGGGAGAGCGAAGCAAUCAAUAGGUCUCGCAGAUCAGUGGAGGGUGCUUGGAAUCUGGCAGCAUGGGGCUUUUUAAUUAAAGCUGUAACUGCGAGAAAAGGUAGCUGCCUAAUUUCUGCAGCUUGUGUUUCGGUCUGCCUGCCAGAAAUUGGACAAGUCAAUGCACUUCCAGAGGCUCCAAGGAUCUUGACGAGGUGGGCUCUGGUUUUGGGGGAGGGCCAGACCCUGCCAGGACGAACAUCUGGAUGGCCAAGGUGACAGGUGCCAAUUCUGCGGGCAAAGGUGUUGCAUUUAGACACCCACAGCAGCUGUGAUCAAUCAGUUGCACUUUCUGGGAAGGCGAUGGCCCUUCCCAGCCAGCAAUGAUUUGUCUUCCGAAAACACUGGGUCUGUCCAAAGAUGUCAACAUUACUUUAAACAAGAUAUUUCCUUUUAUUAUGAAAUAGAGCCUCGCCACUUAAGGUGUGAUCCGCGGGCCAGCACCAUCGGCAUCGGCUGCUGGGACAAUGUCAAAAGUGGAGAGUCUCGGGGCCCCUGGGUGGCUUAGACGGUUAAGCAUCUACCUUCGGCUCGGGUCAUGAUCUCAGGGUCCUGGGACGAGCCCUGCAUCGGGCUCCUUGCUCAGCAGGAAGCCUGCUUCUCCCUCUCCUACUUCCUCUGCUUGUGUUCCCUCUCUCUCUGUCUCUCUCUAUGUCAAAAAAAAAAAAAAAAAAAAAAGUGGAGAGUCUCAAGGCCCUGCCCCAAACCUCCUCUGUCAGAAUUGGCAUUUUAACAAGAUCCUUAGGAAAUUCAUGGGCACAGUCAAGUGUGAGAAACGCUGAGAUUAGGAGACCUGAAGACAAAUCAGUCCAUUGCCAAGGUGUAAACCUUAUUUAAAAUCCUGAAAAGAACGUAAAAAAAAAAAAAAGAUCACAUUCAUGAGACAAUUUGAACACUUAUUAGAUAUUUGAGGACAAUAAGGAUUAAUUUGGCAGCUGUGAUAAUGGUUGUGUGGUUGUAUUAAAAAACAGCCCUUAUCUUUUGGAGUUACACUUGGAAAUACUUAAAGAUGAAGUGAUUUUUUUUUUUUUUUUUUUUUUGGUCUGGCAUUUGUUACAAAACGCUGGUGGAGGCAGAGCCUGGGGUACAGAUGAGGUAGGACUGGCCAUGGGUUGAUGGUUCAGAGCCCUGGGUCUGGUAUAUGAAGAUGCAUUAUACCAGUUUGUUUACUUAGCAUAUGUUUAAAACGCUCCAUAAGAAAAAAUGAAGACGAUGAAAUAUAACAUUCUGGUCCAAAGCGCAUAAAACGUGAAGGUAUUAUGAAGGAAUAAUGAUGCAAGUGAACAUUUGUGCAUCUACUACCGGGUCAUUUUCAGCCAUGCCCUCCUCCCCAGAACCCCUUCCCUCCCACUCUCUUGGUGGGUGUCACCCCCCUGCCCAUGGAGUCACCUGGGGAGACUUUACAAAAUAACAGUGCUGAGACCCUCCAGACCAGUGAAAACCGAAUCCCUGGGAGGGCCGGGGGGUGGGGAAUGGGUGGGUGGAGCACAGGUGAUUCUAAGAUGUACCCCAGUUGAGAAUUAAUGAGUUUGUCGAACUUUUCAUGUAAAUCACGAGGUCUUUGUGCUUGAGUUUUUCAAUGAACUUACAUUUCUGUUGUGCCAAACAGGCCAUUUCACGGAUGGUUUCUCAUGGAGCACUGAGGUGCCGGAUAGUUUUGUAAACAUAGGUUGCCUUGGGCAGUGGACAUUGCACCCCAUUUUUGAAAAUCAUGACAGGAGUUACCACUUACUGAGCACUUUCUACAUGCCUGGCACUGUGUUAGAUACUUUAUAUAUUUAUUGCAUUUAAUGUGGAGUCAGCAUCACUAUCCCCAUUUACUGAUGAACAAACUGAGGCUUAGGGAGACUGUGUGGUUUGCCCAAGGUCACCCAGUUUGGAAAGCCCAGAGUGUCUGACUCACUGCUCUUCACCAUCCUGUCAUGCUGCUCGUGAUGGAUCCUGAGGGAAGAGUUUAGGGUCAUUCCAUAACCCACGAAGAACUGGGACUGAACACGGAAUGACCUUUACUACUUAAGUUAUGUGCCUUUGGGGCACCUGGGUGGCUCAGUCGGUUAGGGGUCUGACUCUUGGUUUCGGCUCAGGCCAUGAUCUCUGAUCUCAGGGUCAUGGGAUCGAGCCCAUUGUUGGGUUCCAUGCUCAGUGCGGAGUCUUCUUGGGACUCUCUCUCUCCCUCUGCCUCCCCCCCACCCGCAUGCUCUCUCUCUCUCAAAUAAAUAAGUCUUAAAAAAGAAGUUAUGUGCCUUUGGGAAAAAUCACUUUGAGCUGAGUUGUGUGUGUCAAGCGGGGACAUUGCUGCUUUGUGUUCUCCAGCUGACAACCUCUUACUCAUCUGUCAAAGGUGCAUCAAUUGUCACAGGGCAGGGAGGCAGGAAAUGCCUCUGCAUUUCAAGUGACCUCCUGGCUAAACCCGAGUGAGUCACGCCCUCCUCCAGCCUCACAGAGCGCUUGUCCAGGCCUCUAAGAGUAGUUGGCAGGAGCCCUGCCCUCACCGUGCAAGGCACCCGCCUCGUAAGGACAGGCACUGUUUUGUAGUCAUCUCGGUGUCUGAAGAACCCAGCCCAGGGGCAGUGCAUGUCUGUGACUGGAAUGACAGGAUGCGGGUUCUGUUCAACCACCAAAGCUUUGGCCAGAGCAUAUGAUCUCAUGAUCUAUAUCCCGUGGGCUGAGCUGUGUCAGACAGGCACAGGACAGUGGUUAGGAGCUGGGGCUCUUAAUUCACACCGCCUGGGUUCAAAUCCCAGCACUGCUACUUCUGAGCAGAAGGACCUGGGGCAGGUUAGUUUACUUCUCUAGGCCUCCUUUCCCUCCUCUGAAAAUCGAGUAACAAUAGUAUUACCUCUCAGGGUUAUUGUCCGGAUGGGAUAGGUUAGUAUUUGAAAAUUGCUUAGGAAUGCCUGGGUGGCUCAGUCGUUAAGUGUCUGCCUUCAGCUCAGGUCAUGAUCCCAGGGUCCUGGGAUUGAGCCCCGCAUCGGGCUCCCUGCUCCGCGGGAGGCCUGCUUCUCCCUCUGCCACUCCCCCUGCUUGUGUUCCCUCUCUCGCUGUGUCUCUCUCUGUCAAAUAAAUAAAAUCUUAAAAAAGAAAAGAAAAUUGCUUAGACCAUGCCUGGUAGUGCUGUGUGGAGCUGGAAGCGAAAGGAAAAAUUGGUAAUAGUGGCUCCGUCUUUAUUGAAAACUUUUUUUUUUUUUUUGGUCUAUCAUGGUUAUUUUUACAUUCAUUUUGAUUUUUUGGGAAUAUUGCACCAAAAUAUUAAUUAAUUUGAUGACUGGGUUUUUUGGUGCCUUCUUAAAUUUUGCACCCAAAGGCGAGUGCCUUAUUGGCCUCACCCUCAUCCUGGCUCUGGCCCUUAGGAAGCAACAUGCAAGUUUUCAUUGUCUGGAGGGGGCUCAGUGUUGUUAUAUUAAAAAAAAUUAUAUCUAUACACUCCUUGUGCAGCACCUACUAUGUUGCUGUGGCAUUGGGGAUGGAACUGUGAAUAGAUAUUCACAACCAUGGUUCUUGCCCUCAGGGAGUUGAUGGCUUGCUGAUGAUAAUCACCACUAAUUGAGCACUUACUGUAUGCCAGGCUUGGUGCAAGUGAUACUUUCAUGAAUCCUUACAGUGAUUUCUUAGGAGGGAAUCAUUAUAUUCAUUUUGCAGAUGAAGGAACUGGACUUAGAGCAAUUGAGCAGCUUGUCUGAGGCCACAAAGUUAAGAGGGGGAUACCCCCGUCUUUCAGCCCACACCAUCCAAGCUCUUUUUGCCAAUGAUCUUUGAGUGAGGUGGGAGCUUUGUUCCUACCUUCUGCAAGAACAUCUUGGAUGCCGAAGAAAUCAGUUGGAUUUUUUUGGGAAUCCCAUUGCAGUGUUUCUCUAAAUACUCAUUUCUCAGGAAGCUCCAAAUCUAAAAUCGAGUGAAAAGAAAAAUGCAAAGUGGGGUAUAAACAUGUAUGGAAGUAUGGAGGGAUAUAACUGAGUGCAGGGAUCAACAUAGGCAAAGAAUUAAGCCUUUAAUGUAUGAGGGGAAAUGGGUUAAUGUCUUUAUUUUUCAGAGAACUCAAAUCAAUACGACAAGCCCCGAAAGUGGGUAGAAAGACAAGCAAAGGGGUGUGAACAGACAACUCGAAAAAGAUGUAGGAGGGGCCAUGGGAGGAGCCUCCCCCUUUCAGAGCCGGUUUGAGCAACCACCAGCCAUUGACCCAUUCCCUGCUCGGAGAAGAACACGGUGUUGAAAAAUCUCUGAGACAAGGCUUUGGUGUGGUCUAAAGGGACUGGAGAAGCAGCCCUGGAGUCUUCUGGCAAAGGGGGAGAGGGAGGAAGGGAGACAGACAGUAGGAUGAAGGGAGGCCAGAAGGGGCAGAGGAAAAGGAGCAGGAAGGCCAGCAGACAGCCUCCCGGGCAAAGGGCUUUUGAGGGUAUCCGAAAUGCAGAACAGCAUUUCCCCACAGGGUUUCUGUUAGACAGCUGUCCUCCCACCCCCGGAGGGAGCCUGGUUUCUUCCAUCAGCCUGGAAGAGACAGUUCAGGGACCUGGGCCUGGUGGCCGUGGCCACUCCCACCGCAAAGGCUUAUGGUGAUGUUUGAGAUGAAGGUCUGAAGUUCAAGGGCUAGCACACAGGAGGUCAGCCUCCUUCUUUCUAACCAGGGCUCCUCCCUUGGAGAGAUAAAUUGCUCCUGAGAGGCAAUAGCUACAAUUUAUAAAGGGCUUACUGUGUAUCAAGUACUUUCAUUUAACCCACAAAAAUAGCUACUAUUAUCAUCAUCUGUUCUGUAGGUGAUGGAAGGAGGUUCAGGGAGCAUCUAAUAACAUAUACAAGGUCACAUCGCCUGCAAAUGUUUGUCCUGUGGGGACCUUGCUGCUGUCUAAGAGGGUGGCCCGUGGCCACUGAGCGUGGCAAAUAUGCCUAGUGUGAAGAAGGGAGUGAAUUUUAAAUUUUAUUUAACUUCAAUUUGCAUUUAACUUAAAAACUGAAGCAGUGUAUUUUUUUCUGUGGAAACGACUUGAUUGUUUUAGUGGGAUUCCAUUUCACUUUAGCUGUUGAAAAUUUAAUGUCCAAAUUGAAACUGUUGUAAAGUACCCAUGGGCAUUAGAAGACUUAGUAUACAUAACAAAAGAAUGUAAAACAUCUCAUUAAUAAUUUUUUUAAAGUUUAUUUAUUUAUUUGUUUGUUUGUUUGUUUAUUUAUUUAAGUAAUCUAUACCCAAUGUGGGGCCUGAACUCACAACCCCGAGAUCAAGAGUCACAUGUUCUUUUGACUGAGCCAUGCACGUGCCCCUCCCUUAAUAAUUUCUUAAUAUUGAUUACAUGUUGAAAUUAUAAUAUCUUGGAUAUAGUAAGCCAAGUAAAACAUUAUUAAAAUUAAUUUCACCUUUUAAUAAAAAUUGUUAAAUGUGGCCACGAGAAAAUUUAAAAUAACGUCAGUGGUUUGCAAUAUAAUUCUAGUGGCCCAGCACUGAGCUAGAGUAUGAACCCAGGAAGUCUGCAUCUGGAGUUCAGGAUUUUGACCAUUACAUGAUAUCAUCUGCCCCUUGAGUGCAGAGGUGUGUCAGGUAGCAUACCUAUUUGGAGGGUGUAGGCUGGAGCGACCCUGAGAGUUCUCUAGAAUUUCACACUCCUCUUCCUCCAGCAUCAGCUAUCUCCUUCAAGACCUAGUUCUACCCAGAGUGGCCUUUUGGAUGUAAUGACUUCCUAGCAACCUCAACUAACCAAGAGUUUCUAUUGGACAGGAGAACAGAAGCUUCCUUCAUUCUCAUUCCUCUGUCCCUUCAUUCAGCAAAGGCUAUUGAAUUUCUAAUGUGUGCCAGGCCCUGUGAACAAAAAACAGAAAACAGUCCCUGUCCUCAAGGGAGAAUCCAUUUCCUUGCCUUGUCCAGCUUGUAAGGGCUCCUCGCAUUCCUUGGUUGCUGGCUGUGCAUCACUUCAACCUCUGCUUCCUUGUCAUGUCUCCUUCUCUGUCCCUGGCUACUCUGCCUCCCUCUAAAAGUACCCUUGUAAUGCGAUUUGGCUCACCCAGACAAUCUUCUCAUCUCCAAAUCCUUAUUUAAUCACAUCUGCAACAUUCGCAACCUCCCUUUUGCUAUGAAAGGUAACAUAUUCACCGGUUCCAAGGAUCAGGAUGUGGACAUCUUUGAAGGAGGGCAUUAUUCUGUCUACCACAGGGGCUAAAAUUUGAGAUAAGAUGACCAGGGAGGGACUCAUUGAGAUGACAUUUGAGUAAAGGCCUGAGGGAGUAAGGGAGUAUACAGAUACCUGGUGAAAGAGCCUUCUGGACAGAGAAAAAAGCAUGUGCAAAGGUCCUGAGGUGGAAGUAUGGCUGGUAUGUUUGAAGAUGAGCAGAGAAGCCAGCAUGUCUGGAGCAGAGAGAUCUAGGGGCAGAAUGGUAGGAAAUGACAUCAGAGAGGUAAUAUGGAGUGGGCAUGGGAGGGGAGAGAUAGAUCAUGAAGGGCCUUGUAGAUGAUUUUAAGAAAUGUAUCUUAUAGGGUCACCUGGGCGGCUCAGUUGGUUAAGUGCCUAACUCUUUUUUUUUUUUUUUAAAGAUUUAUUUAUUCAUUUGAGAGAGCGAGAAUGAGAGAGAGUACAUGAGAGGGGGCAGGGUCAGAGGGAGAAGCAGGCUCCUCGCCGAUCAGGGAGCCCGAUGCGGGACCCGAUCCCGGGACUCCAGGAUCAUGACCUGAGCCGAAGGCAGUUGCCUAACCAACUGAGCCACCCAGGCGCCCAAGCUCCUAACUCUUGAUUUCGGCUCAGGUCAUGAUCUCAGGGUCCUGGGAUGGAGCCCCACGGGGGCUCUGUGCUUAGUUGGGAGUCUGCUUGAGAUUCUCUCUCUCCCUCCUCUGCCCACCCCCGCUGUGUGCAUGCUCUCUCUCUCAAAUAAAUAAAUAAAUAAAUCUUUAAAAAAAAUGUAUCUUAUAUUCUGAAUGAGAUGGGAAGACUUUAGAGGCUUCUUCUAAGUACAUAUUCAAUAAUUAACUGUGCAAAAAAUCUAAAACCGAGUGAAAAGAAAAAUGCAAAGUGGGGUAUAAACACGUAAAAGGGCAUAUGGAAAUAUGGAGGGAUAUAACUGAGUGCAGGGAUCAGCAUAGGCAAAGAACUAAGCCUUUAAUGUAUGAGGGGAAACGGGUUAAUGUCUAUUUUACAGAGAACUCAAACAAAUCAAUAAGACAAGCCCUGAAAGUGGGUAGAAAGACAAGCAAAAGGGUGUGAACAGACAACUCAAAAAAGAUGAAAAGCAAUUAGCUGGGCACAUGGGAAAAUGAUCAGCCUAACCAGUAAUCAAAGAAAUGCAAAUUAGAACCACAAACGGGCUACAUUUCCAUCUUGUGAGGAUUUUAAGGACGAUAAUGCCGGCUUUGGCCAUCCUGGCGUGAGGUAGACUCAGGAAUGCUGGCUGCAGGGAGUCUGACCCUUUUGGGCAACCCUUUGACGCUGGCUCUCAAGACCUUAAACAUGGGCAUUCUGGUUGGCAGAAGGAAACCAAGGCUUGUAAUCUAGCCCAAGGACAUAAUUCUAAAUCCGGAGACAACUUUGUUCAUGGCAGCCAAACAACAGAGACAACCAAACUGUAAACAAUAGAUUAAAUAGGCCACGGGGGUCAUUCCUUUGAUUUUGUUUUUUUUAAAGAUUUUAUUUAUUUAUUUGACAGAGAGAGAGGCAGGGAGAGAGGGAGCACAAGCAAGGGGAGCAGCAGAGGGAGAAGCAGGCCUCCUGCAGAGCAGGGAGCCCGAUGCGGGGCUCGAUCCCAGGACCCUGGGAUCAUGACCUGAGCUGAAGGCAGAUGCUUAACGACUGAGCCACCCAGGCGCCACCUCCUUUGAUAUUUUUGUCAAGUAAUAUUAAUUAAAUGCUAGCCAUGUGCCAAGCAAUUUCUAGGUGCUAGGAAUACAGCCACGAAAAAAACACCCCAACUCCCUGGACCCCAUGGGACUCAUUCUAGUGAAGGAGAAAGAACAUUAAAAAGCAAAGAUGUGAACGUGUUACAUGCCGAGGAAGAACAAAGCAGGGAUAUGUGGCAGGGAGUGAUGGAGAUUUGUAGGGUGAAUAACUGUCCCAGUUUGCUGGGGAUGGGCCCGGGGUCGGGGGGAGGUUCCCAGCAUACAGGAUUUUCAGUUUUAUUAUUUAUUUAUUUAUUUAUUUAUUUAUUUAUUUAUUUAUUUAUUUAUUUAUUUAUUUAUUUAUUUAUUUAUUUAAUAUUUAUUAAGUAGGCUCCACGCCCCGGCCUGGAGCCCAGUGCAGGGGCUGGAACUCACAACCCUGAGAUCAAGACUUGAGCUGAGAUCAAGAGUCAGACGCUCAACCAGCUGAGCCAUCCAGGUGCCCCAGAAUUUUCAGUUUUAAAACUGGGACGGUCCUCGGGCAACUAGGAUAAGUUGGUCAACCGAAGAAGGGCAACUUUCUGAUGGGCUGGUCAGGGCCUUUCUGAGGAGGUGGCGUUUGACUCAGGACCAAAUGAAGCAAGGGAGGGAACUAUGGGCAUGCUAGCAAAGUAGCUUUCUAGGCAGAGAGAACAGUAUGUACAAAGGCCCUGAGGCAGGAGUGUUCUUGGGGGUGUUUGAAGGACUAAAAGAAGGUCAGGGUGUCUGAAGCAUAGCGCCAGGGAAGAGAGUGGUAGGAGAUAGGUUGCAGAGGAGGAGGGAGGAGCUGGCUUCUGACCCUUGUAGGAAAGGGAAAGAACUUUGGAUUUUAUUUUAAGCCCAGUCAGGGAAAUGAAAUGGUAUAAUUUAUGAUUUUAGAAAGAUCCCUUUGGCGGUUGUGUGAAGAAAGGAAUGUUGGUGAGUGUGGGGUGGGGGGCAGGGUGGACUCAGGUAGACCUGAUGGGAGGUGGUUAUAAUCAAGGGCAGUGGUCUUGAACUCAAGCAUGCGUCAGAAUCACCUUCAGGGCUUGUUAAACACAACUUCUGGCCCUGCCCGUGGAGACAGCAUUUCUCACAAGACGCUGAGGUUGCUGGCCCGGAUCACUCCGAGUAGCUACCACUUCGAGCGGCAAAGAGCCAGGAGAGAGGUGAUGGUGACUUGCACUAAGGUGGUAUCAGUGCUGAAGUCAAGUCUUGUCUGAGAUGUGUUUUUUAUUUUUAUUUUUUGAAAGAUUUUAUUUAUUAUUUGACAGAGAGCGAGAGAGCAUGAGAGAGUGAGCACGAGCAGGGCAGGAUGCCGCUGAGGGAGAGAGAGAAGCAGACUCCCCACUGAGCCGGGACCCUGAUGCGGGGCUCGAUCCCAGGACCCCAGGAUCGUGACCUGAGCUGAAGGCAGACGCUUAAUCGACUGAGCCAGCCAGGUUCUCCUGGGAUGUGUUUUGGGAAGUGAAACUGCCUGGCAGAAAGCUACACCUGGAUUCUUGCAGCUGAACCCAUGUAACUGGCAUCUGGACUUUUCUACCCAGUUACCCCCAUGUGAGAAACAGGGUACAGAUGAGUGCUCUGGUGGAGAAGGGAGCUCUUUAAAUGAAGAUGGCUAGUGGUGAAGCAGAGUGAUUCUGACAUCUGCUAAGUGGAGAAAAAUGGCAGGGACUCACUUUGCAAGAAAUUACACUAUGUUCAAUGACUUCCCAUCAAGAGUAAGCAAUGUUCCGUAUCCUGCCAUUGCUCCCAGGUGAUGCCGAUGCUGUGCUUCGUGGAGGGCAGGUCUGGAACACGUGAUCCUAUUCCCUGACAAGCUUAAUAGCUGGGAAGGCACUGCGGCCAGCCGCGCAGCCUGAGGCCGCUCGCAGGGCAGUGUUGGCCUGGUCGUGGGCUUCCCUACUGUGUGCUGGCCUCAGUCUCUCUUCAUUGGCCCAGUGUGAUCGAGGAGAUGCCAGUAGAAGAUAGUCAAGAAGGCGUCCGUGGGAUACAGAAGCAUUCCAAGCUUACAUGCCAACCAAAACAUCAGUUCUUUUUUUGGACUGGGACCACACCACUGGCUCUCCUGGUUCUCAGGCCUUUGCACUUGGACUAGAACUUACAUCGUCAGGACUCCUGGGUCUCCAGCUGGCAUGACUGCGGAUUUUGGGACUUAGGCUCCAUAAUCAGGAUGAAGGGGCUGAGAUUCAGAUUUUGCAGAGGAACAUCUGAGUUGCCACUUCUGGAUGAAUGAGGAGUUAAGGUAAGACUGCCUGCUAGAACACAAAUUCUCAAUGGGGUCACACAACACACGUUUCAUAUCGCGGUCACCAGUCGGGAAUGGCUGGUCAGGGGACUUUCCUAUGUGACU